UUCUUCUUCUUCAUUUUUCUUGUAUAGAGAUUUCCACCAAUUCACUCUCACAUAUUCACCAGAAAUGAAAAACGAGAUCAGUAUAAGACCCAGAGGAGCUCUAGGAAGUUCCCUACCCAUCACCCAAUCCGCUACCCACUACCCGCAACCCGCAAGUAUAACCUGAGGUCGUGAGCAACAAUAGUCGCGGAGUGGACAUCAGAGACUUGGGGACUUGUCGAUUGAUCAUGUAUAAUUAUUUAUUAUGGUACAUUUACGUUUCUAGGGAGCGGUUUUGAUAUAUCCCAGUGGUA